AGUGAACGCUGGCGGUAGGCCUAACACAUGCAAGUCGAACGGCAGCACAGUAAGAGCUUGCUCUUACGGGUGGCGAGUGGCGGACGGGUGAGGAAUACAUCGGAAUCUACUUUUUCGUGGGGGAUAACGUAGGGAAACUUACGCUAAUACCGCAUACGACCUACGGGUGAAAGCAGGGGAUCUUCGGACCUUGCGCGAUUGAAUGAGCCGAUGUCGGAUUAGCUAGUUGGCGGGGUAAACGCCCACCAAGGCGACGAUCCGUAGCUGGUCUGAGAGGAUGAUCAGCCACACUGGAACUGAGACACGGUCAAGACUCCUACGGGAGGCAGCAGUGGGGAAUAUUGGACAAUGGGCGCAAGCCUGAUCCAGCCAUACCGCGUGGGUGAAGAAGGCCUUCGGGUUGUAAAGCCCUUUUGUUGGGAAAGAAAAGCAGCAGGUUAAUACCCCGCUGUUCUGACGGUACCCAAAGAAUAAGCACCGGCUAACUUCGUG
rnacentral:rRNA from 1 species